rnacentral:rRNA from 1 species
AUUGAACGCUGGCGGCAUGCCUAACACAUGCAAGUCGAACGGGGCAGCGAGACUAGUAGCAAUACUAGUUGUCGGCGAGCGGCGGACGGGUGAGUAACACGUAGGAAUCUGCCCUUAAGCGGGGGAUAACCAAGGGAAACUUUGGCUAAUACCGCAUAAUCUCGAGAGAGCAAGGCUGCCCGCAAGGGUGGCACUUGAGGAGGAGCCUGCGUCCGAUUAGCUAGUUGGUGGGGUAAUGGCCUACCAAGGCGAUGAUCGGUAACUGGUCUGAGAGGACGACCAGUCACAAUGGGACUGAGACACGGCCCAGACUCCUACGGGAGGCAGCAGUGGGGAAUAUUGGACAAUGGGGGCAACCCUGAUCCAGCGAUGCCGCGUGAGUGAAGAAGGCCUUCGGGUCGUAAAGCUCUUUAGGUUGGGAGGAAGGGUAUUGGCUGAAUAAUCCAGUACUUUGACGGUACCGACAGAAUAAGCACCGGCAAACUCUGUGCCAGCCGCCGCCGUAAGAC